AGGACGAACGCUGGCGGCGUGCUUAACACAUGCAAGUCGAGCGGAAAGGCCCUUCGGGGUACUCGAGCGGCGAACGGGUGAGUAACACGUGAGCAACCUGCCCUUAGCUCUGGGAUAGCUCCGGGAAACCGGAAUUAAUACCGGAUAUGACCUAGGCCGACAUCGGCCGUGGUGGAAAGUUUUUCGGCUAGGGAUGGACUCGCGGCCUAUCAGCUAGUUGGUGGGGUAAUGGCCUACCAAGGCGACGACGGGUAGCCGGCCUGAGAGGGCGACCGGCCACACUGGGACUGAGACACGGCCCAGACUCCUACGGGAGGCAGCAGUGGGAAUCUUGCGCAAAUGGGCGAAAGCCUGACGCAGCGACGCCGCGUGGGGGAUGAAGGCCUUCGGGUUGUAAACCCUUUCAGCAGGGACGAAGCGAAAGUGACGGUACCUGCAGAAGAAGCGCCGGCUAACUACGCGCCAGCAGCCGC
rnacentral:rRNA from 1 species